CUAUUCGCGUUCGGGGUACCCGUGUCGUUUCACGUGGCCCGGGGAUGGUAACUUGGUCCCCGAUGUUAGCGGCGGACGGGUGAGUAACACGUGGGUAACCUGCCUGUAAGACUGGGAUAACUCCGGGAAACCGGGGCUAAUACCGGAUGGUUGUUUGAACCGCAUGGUUCAAACAUAAAAGGUGGCUUCGGCUACCACUUACAGAUGGACCCGCGGCGCAUUAGCUAGUUGGUGAGGUAACGGCUCACCAAGGCAACGAUGCGUAGCCGACCUGAGAGGGUGAUCGGCCACACUGGGACUGAGACACGGCCCAGACUCCUACGGGAGGCAGCAGUAGGGAAUCUUCCGCAAUGGACGAAAGUCUGACGGAGCAACGCCGCGUGAGUGAUGAAGGUUUUCGGAUCGUAAAGCUCUGUUGUUAGGGAAGAACAAGUACCGUUCGAAUAGGGCGGUACCUUGACGGUACCUAACCAGAAAGCCACGGCUAACUACGUGCCAGCAGCCGCGGUAAUACGUAGGUGGCAAGCGUUGUCCGGAAUUAUUGGGCGUAAAGGGCUCGCAGGCGGUUUCUUAAGUCUGAUGUGAAAGCCCCCGGCUCAACCGGGGAGGGUCAUUGGAAACUGGGGAACUUGAGUGCAGAAGAGGAGAGUGGAAUUCCACGUGUAGCGGUGAAAUGCGUAGAGAUGUGGAGGAACACCAGUGGCGAAGCGACUCUCUGGUCUGUAACUGACGCUGAG
rnacentral:rRNA from 1 species